GCCAGGCAUGGUGGUACAUGCCUAUCUUCCCAGCUACUCGGGAGGCUGAUGGGAGGAUCACUUGAGCCCAAGAGCUCUGGGCUGUAGUGUGCUAUGCCAGUCAGGUGUCUGUACUAAGAGUUCAGCAUCAGUAUGAUGACCUUCCAGGAGCAGGGGACUAUGAGGUUGCCUAGGGAGAGAUGAACUGGCCCAGGUCAGAAAUGGAGCAGGUCAAAACACCUAUGCCGAUCAGUAGUGGGAUCACGACUAUGAAUAGCCACUGUACUUCAGACUGGGUAACAUAGUGAUACUCCAUCUCU
rnacentral:SRP_RNA from 1 species